UGAAGUAAGUAAGGGCGUACGGUGAAUGCCUUGGUGCCAACAGGCGAAGAAGGACGCGGCAAGCUGCGAAAAGCCUCGGGAAGCUGCAAGCAAGCGAUGAUCCGGGGAUAUCCGAAUGGGGUAACCUGAUCGAGGCAAUACUCGAUCGUUCAUACCUGAAUACAUAGGGUAUGAAACGCGAAACCCGCUGAAGUGAAACAUCUCAGUAAGCGGAGGAAAAGAAAGAGAAAUCGAUUCCGUAAGUAGUGGCGAGCGAAAGCGGAUGGAGCCCAAACCGAAGGUAUUCCUUCGGGGUUGUAGGACCACGUCAUAUUCGACCAUACUGGAUAGUAGAACAGCCUGGAAAGGCUGGCCGGAGAAGGUGAAAGCCCUGUAGACGAAAUCCAGAGUGGGAAUUAGUGGUAUCCUGAGUAAUACAUCACACGUGGAACGAUGUAUGAACCCGCGCGGACCACCGCGCAAGGCUAAAUACUAGUUGGCGACCGAUAGUGAACAAGUACCGCGAGGGAAAGGUGAAAAGAACCGCUGUGAGCGGAGUGAAAUAGAACCUGAAACCGUAUGUCUACAAAGUGUCAGAGCAGAGCAAUCUGCGAUGGCGUGCCUUUUGUUUAAUGAGUCUGCGAGUCAGUGUUUGUGGCAAGACUAAGGGCUUCCGGCCCGGAGUCGCAGCGAAAGCAAGUCCGAACAGGGCGCAAUAAGUCGCAGGUACUGGACCCGAAGCGGAGGUGACCUACCCUUGGCCAGGUUGAAGCAUGGGUAAAACCAUGUGGAGGACCGAACAGGUGAACGUUGAAAAGUUCUCUGAUGAGCUGAGGGUAGGAGUGAAAGGCUAAUCAAACCCCGUGAUAGCUGGUUCUCUUCGAAAUGCAUUUAGGUGCAGCGUCACGUGCUGAUGCGCGGGGGUAGAGCACUGACAAGGCUAGGGGGCACACCCGCUUACCAAACCUUAUCAAACUCCGAAUACCGUGCAAUGGAACGUGGCAGUGAGACAGUGGGGGAUAAGCUUCAUUGUCGAGAGGGAAACAACCCAGACCAGCAGCUAAGGUGCCUAAAUAACGCUCAGUGGAAAGGAUGUGGGAUUACACAGACAGUGAGGAUGUUGGCUUAGAAGCAGCCACCAUUUAAAAAAUGCGUAAUAGCUUACUCAUCGAGUGAUCCUGCGCCGAAAAUGAUUGGCGAUCAAGCGUUAUACCGAAGCUCUGGACUUUGCCGCAAGGCAGAGUGGUAGAAGAGCGUUGCAUGCGCGUCGAAGGGCGAUGGCGACUGACCCUGGAGCACAUGCAAGUGAGUAUGCAGACAUGAGUAACGUUAAGCCGGGUGAAAUCCCCGGCCGCCGUAAACCCGAGGUUUCCAGGGCAACGUGUUUCGUCCCUGGGUUAGCCGGGACCUAAGCCGAGGCCGAGAGGCGUAGGCGAUGGACAUCAGGUUAAUAAUCCUGAGCUCGCAACCCUUAAACUGGGGGGACGCAUGAGAAAAGAUGACUAGGUUAUUGAAUUCCGAGUUGAGUCUACGGACUCAGCGCAUCAUUGGAUCGAGUGCCAAGAAAAGCCCCAGCGUAUGCUAAGCGACCCGUACCGCAAACCGACACAGGUGGGUGGGUAGAAUAUACCAAGGCGUAAGAGUGAAACCUGGUUAAGGAACUCGGCAAAUUAGCCCCGUAACUUCGGAAGAAGGGGUGCCUGCAGCGAUGCAGGCCGCAGAGAAAUGGCCCAACCGACUGUUUAUCAAAAACACAGCACUCUGCAAAGACGCAAGUCGAAGUAUAGGGUGUGACACGUGACCAAUGCCGAAAGAUUAAGGCAAGGGGUUAGCCGCAAGGCGAAGCUCUAAACCCAAGUCCCGGUGAAUGUCGGCCGUAACUAUAACGGUCCUAAGGUAGCGAAAUUCCUUGUCGGGUAAGUUCCGACCUGCACGAAUCGUGAAACGAGUUGGGCACUGUCUCAACCAGGCGCUCAGUGAAAUUGUAGUGGCGGUGAAGAUGCCGCCUACCCGCAGAAGGACGGAAAGACCCUAUAGACCUUAACUGUAAGCUGUCAUUGUUUCUUCGGUUUUAAUGCUCAGAGUAAGUGGGAGACGCUGAAGACGCCCUUUAGGGGGCGUCCGAGUCAUCAAUGAGACACCACCCUUUGAAACUGGAGGAUCUAACCCUGAGCCGUGAAUCCGGCCAGAGGACCGUGUCAGCCGGUCAGUUUUACUGGGGCGGUAUCCUCCCAAAGAGUAACGGAGGAGCGCGAAGGUGGGCUCAGCCCGGUUGGCAACCGGGUGUCGAGUGCAUGGGCAUAAGCCCGCCUAACUGUGAGACCAACAAGUCGAGCAGAUGCGAAAGCAGGCCCAAGUGAUCCGGCGGUAGAAAGUGGAAUUGCCGUCGCUCAACGGAUAAAAGGUACCUUAGGGAUAACAGGCUGAUCACGCCCAAGAGUUCAUAUCGACGGCGUGGUUUGGCACCUCGAUGUCGGCUCGUCGCAUCCUGGGGCUGG
rnacentral:rRNA from 1 species